GAGGCGAUAGCUCAGUGGUAGAGCACAGAAUUUGCAAGCCUGAGGCCCCAGGUUCAGUCCCUAGCAUCUUG
rnacentral:tRNA from 1 species